UUUUUUUUCAAUAAAAAAAUAAAAUUAGAUCUAUUUCACAUUUUCACGGGUACGCCGUGACUCCUUCCUCUCUCUAUCCUCCCAGAAGGCCAGAACACAGACCACGGCUUCCUCUCUCUCUCUCUCUCUCUCUCCUCCAUUGAAGCGUACUCGAAAUUCUCCAUAAAAGGGGCUUCUGAGCUUUCUCUCCUCCAUUGAAGCAGUCUCUAAGGCUAAAUUUUUGGUUGUUUUGAUAAUUGUACCAUGGGCAAUGGAUUUUCUUGUGCACGACUAUGUUCUUAUGCCUUUCUUAGACAGGUAAAUGUUUGUCUACGAUGCUUUUAGCUUGGCCUAUUAUGAUUACACCUCAAAUCAUUGCUUUUUGUGUGUCGUUCAUCGUUUAAAAAAUCGGCAUGGCUGCAUUACCUUGUCAAACUUGAAAUGGUUAGAGAGUGUGCCUUAUUGAUGGAUGAAGUUGUAAACUUAGGAUGUUUUAAGCUAUUUGGAGAGAAGUAUACUUAUUUAUGAAUAUAUUAUUUGUAAUGAAUAUUUCAGGCUAGCAUCUGCCUUUCCUUUUUUGGUUUUUCCUCACAUAUUUGUUGGAAUGCCUUAGUUUGAAAUAAAUUCUCAAAUACAUACACACUAAACAGUACAAAUAGAGGAUAUGUAUUGUCCAAUGAUAAUUUAAAAGCACAUUAGUGGUUAAAGCUCCUUAGCUUCAGAGGCAAGAAAUACCUCAACUACAUGCUUCAGAUUGUAUUUUUUUCUUAUGAAAUGAACUUUUUUAUGUAUUUUUUUUUGUUCA